UCAUCUAUCAAUGAUACGUCAGGCAGAGC
rnacentral:sRNA from 1 species